rnacentral:rRNA from 1 species
GACGAACGCUGGCGGCGUGCUUAACACAUGCAAGUCGAACGGAAAGGCCCUGCUUUUGUGGGGUGCUCGAGUGGCGAACGGGUGAGUAACACGUGAGUAACCUGCCCUUGACUUUGGGAUAACUUCAGGAAACUGGGGCUAAUACCGGAUAGGAGCUCCUGCUUCAUGGUGGGGGUUGGAAAGUUUCGGCGGUUGGGGAUGGACUCGCGGCUUAUCAGCUUGUUGGUGGGGUAGUGGCUUACCAAGGCUUUGACGGGUAGCCGGCCUGAGAGGGUGACCGGCCACAUUGGGACUGAGAUACGGCCCAGACUCCUACGGGAGGCAGCAGUGGGGAAUAUUGUACAAUGGGCGGAAGCCUGAUGCAGCAACGCCGCGUGCGGGAUGACGGCCUUCGGGUUGUAAACCGCUUUCGCCUGUGACGAAGCGUGAGUGACGGUAAUGGGUAAAGAAGCACCGGCUAACUACGUG